GAUCAAGUGAAAGAAGGGCAUUUGGUGGAUGCCUUGGCAUGCACAGGCGAUGAAGGACGUGAUACGCUGCGAUAAGCCAUGGGGAGCUGCGAAUAAGCUUUGAUCCGUGGAUUUCCGAAUGGGGCAACCCACCUUCGACCGCUGUUAAGUUUAAACUGUUCGGGUUGCGCUCGCGCCAGAUUGCUCGCGCAAUCGGCUCCGCGAGGGCGGACCAUCAGGUCCGUCGCCCGGUCGGGCUCUGGCUGCCGCGCUCUUUGUAGGGCGCACGGCAGUUCGAGGUCGCACGGCAGUCAGGCCGCGAAUUGCGGCCCGCAGCUUUUGCUGCGCCCGCGCGGAGGCGAUCGCGACAGCGAUCUGCCGUGAGCGAGAACGGUUUAGAUUAACAGCGGUCAUGAGAAGGUAUCUGGCUCUGAAUACAUAGGGGUUAGAAGCGAACUCGGGGAACUGAAACAUCUAAGUACCCGAAGGAAAGGACAUCAACCGA
rnacentral:rRNA from 1 species